AACAUCGCGCACCUGCGGGAACCUGCGGAGGGAUCAUUACAGAAUAAACUUGGUGGGUUGUUGCUGGCUCUCAACUUGAGCAUGUGCACGCCUGUCAUCUUUAUCUUUCCACCAUGUGCACCCUUUGUAGAUCUUGAAUAGUCAAUAUGCCUAGUUCACUUGUGGACUACUGGGAAGCUGCUAAUACUUGUAUUGGCUCUUUCUGUUACUGGCUGUCUGUUCAAGGCUCUACGAUUUAUA
rnacentral:misc_RNA from 1 species